rnacentral:misc_RNA from 1 species
AGAGAAGAGAAAUUUAGUUGAAGCAAUGUCGAAAUCAAGUGAAGAAGGUGACCGUCCGGCGAAUCUAUCGCACACAUUUAAGUACUUGCUCGCUACUCAAUUUUUAUCAAGGGGAAUACCGUUCAUAUUCAACUCUUGGAUCGUUCGACAUCUAACUGAAGAAGAUUAUGCGUUGUAUGCUGUACAAUUUCACUUGUUCAUUACUUGUGUGCUUUUUCUUAGUCGAGAGGGCUUCAGAAGAGCAUGCAUGAG